GAUGAACGCUGGCGGCGUGCCUAAUACAUGCAAGUCGAGCGAAUGGAUUAAGAGCUUGCUCUUAUGAAGUUAGCGGCGGACGGGUGAGUAACACGUGAGUAACCUGCCCAUAAGACUGGGAUAACUCCGGGAAACCGGGGCUAAUACCGGAUAACAUUUUGAACCGCAUGGUUCGAAAUUGAAAGGCGGCUUCGGCUGUCACUUAUGGAUGGACCCGCGGCGCAUUAGCUAGUUGGUGAGGUAACGGCUCACCAAGGCAACGAUGCGUAGCCGACCUGAGAGGGUGAUCGGCCACACUGGGACUGGGACACGGCCCAGACUCCUACGGGAGGCAGCAGUAGGGAAUCUUCCGCAAUGGACGAAAGUCUGACGGAGCAACGCCGCGUGAGUGAUGAAGGCUUUCGGGUCGUAAAACUCUGUUGUUAGGGAAGAACAAGUGCUAGUUGAAUAAGCUGGCACCUUGACGGUACCUAACCAGAAAGCCACGGCUAACUACGUGCCAGCCGCCGCCGUAA
rnacentral:rRNA from 1 species